ACGUAGGUGGCGAGCGUUGUCCGGAAUUACUGGGUGUAAAGGGCGUGUAGGCGGGAAUGUAAGUCAGAUGUGAAAUGCCGAGGCUUAACCUCGGAGCUGCAUCUGAAACUGUGUUUCUUGAGUAUCGGAGAGGAAAGUGGAAUUCCCAGUGUAGCGGUGAAAUGCGUAGAUAUUGGGAGGAACACCAGUGGCGAAGGCGACUUUCUGGACGAUAACUGACGCUGAGGCGCGAAAGCGUGGGGAGCAAACAG
rnacentral:rRNA from 1 species